UCAAGCUACUAAGAGCGCAGGGCGGAUGCCUUGGCGCCAGGAGCCGAUGAAGGACGGGGUAAGCACCGAUAUGCCACGGGAAGCCGCAAACAGGCGUUGAUCCGUGGAUCUCCGAAUGGGGCAACCCGCUGUCCGUAAUGGGACAGCAUCCUUACCUGAAUAAAAUAGGGUAAGGAAGAUAACCGGGUGAACUGAAACAUCUAAGUAACCCGAGGAAGAGAAAUCAACCGAGAUUCCCUCAGUAGCGGCGAGCGAACGGGGAAGAGCCUAAACCGAUAAAAUGCCAAGCCUGCAAGCGUUGUUUUAUCGGGGUUGUACGGCUUAAUGUGAACUGUUGCAGCAGUUCGCAGUGGGGUAAUUGUUUAGCAGAAGGUUCUGGAAAGGACCGCCGUAGAGAGUGACAGCCUCGUAUGCGAAAAGCAGUUAUCCGCUGUAUUAAGUCCGUGAGUAGCACGGGACACGUGAAAUCCUGUGUGAAUCUGGGAGGACCACCUUCCAAGGCUAAAUACUACCUGGCGACCGAUAGUGAACAGUACCGUGAGGGAAAGGUGAAAAGCACCCCGGGAGGGGAGUGAAAUAGAACCUGAAACCCUGUGCUUACAAGCAGUCGGAGGACGUUAAUGUCUGACGGCGUACUUUUUGUAGAACGGACCGGCGAGUUAUGGUAGGCAGCGAGGUUAAGCAUGUGAGAUGCGGAGCCGGAGGGAAACCGAGUCUGAAUAGGGCGUUAAGUUGCUUGCUGUAGACCCGAAGCCGAGUGAGCUACCCAUGGCCAGGGUGAAGUUGAGGUAAAACUCAAUGGAGGCCCGAACCCACUAACGCUGAAACGUUAGGGGAUGAGCUGUGGGUAGGGGUGAAAAGCCAAACGAACUCGGAGAUAGCUGGUUCUCCUCGAAAUAGCUUUAGGGCUAGCCUCAGAGACGAGACUGACGGAGGUAGAGCACUGAUUGAGCUAGGGGCCCAACAAGGUUACCGACCUCUUUCAAACUCCGAAUGCCGUUAGUUGCUCUCUGGGAGUCAGACUGCGGGGGAUAAGCUCCGUAGUCGAGAGGGAAAGAGCCCAGACCGACAGCUAAGGUCCCAAAGUGCGAACUAAGUGGAAAAGGAUGUGGAACUGCACAGACAACCAGGAUGUUGGCUUAGAAGCAGCCAUUCAUUUAAAGAGUGCGUAAUAGCUCACUGGUCAAGUGGUUCUGCGCCGAAAAUGUAACGGGGCUCAAGUUCGCCACCGAAGCUUCGGAUGUGUUGGUUAUCUCUGUUUUCUCUUUGAAGUGAACGAUGAGGGUUCAUUUCGUCAAAACGAACCAUGAGUUUUAAUUGGAAAGUUUUGACUAAAUGCCUCAGCGAAAGUUCGCCAAGUGAGGAGACAACAGAGAUAACCAGCACAUGGUAGAGGAGCGUUCCAACAGCGCUGAAGGUAGACCGAAAGGACUGCUGGAGUGGUUGGAAGUGAGAAUGCCGGUAUGAGUAGCGAUAAGAAGGGUGAGAAUCCCUUCCGCCGAAAACCUAAGGUUUCCUGAGGAAGGUUCGUCCGCUCAGGGUAAGUCGGGACCUAAGGCGAGGCCGAAAGGCGUAGUCGAUGGACAACAGGUUGAAAUUCCUGUACCACCAAGCAUCGUUUGAGUGAAGUAGUGACGCAGAAGGGUAGGUCAUCAUCCUGCCGGAAUAGGGUGUCUAAGCGAGUAGGGGGCAAGAUAGGCAAAUCCGUCUUGCACAAACCCCGAGACGUGAUGGGGAAGCGAAAUGAGUAGCUGAACUGACUGAUCCCAUACUGCCGAGAAAAGCUGCUAGCGAGAUGUGAGGUGCCCGUACCGCAAACCGACACAGGUAGGUGGGGAGAGAAUCCUAAGGCGCGCGAGAGAACCCCCGUUAAGGAACUCGGCAAAAUGACUCCGUAACUUCGGGAGAAGGAGUGCCCCAUUAGUGUGAAAUCUAUUCAGGUGGAGCACGAAGGGGCCGCAGCGAAAUGGCCCAAGCGACUGUUUAUCAAAAACACAGGUCUCUGCUAAGUGGUAACACGAAGUAUAGGGGCUGACGCCUGCCCAAUGCCGGAAGGUUAAAGGGAAGGGUUAGCGUAAGCGAAGCUCUGAACUGAAGCCCCGGUCAAUGGCGGCCGUAACUAUAACGGUCCUAAGGUAGCGAAAUUCCUUGUCGGGUAAGUUCCGACCUGCACGAAAGGCGCAACGACUUGGGCGCUGUCUCGACGGGGGGCUCGGCGAAAUUGUAGUACCUGUGAAGAUGCAGGUUACCCGCGACAAGACGGAAAGACCCCAUGGAGCUUUACUGUAGCUUGGUAUUGGAUUUUGGUAUGGAAUGUAUAGGAUAGGUGGGAGACAGAGAAGACGGGACGCUAGUCUCGUUGGAGUCACCGGUGGAAUACCACUCUUUUCAUGCUGAAGUUCUAACUAGCGGCCGUGAAUCCGGUCAUAGGACAGUAUCAGGUGGGCAGUUUGACUGGGGCGGUCGCCUCCUAAACAGUAACGGAGGCGCCCAAAGGUUCCCUCGGUGCGGAUGGAAAUCGCACGAAAGAGUGUAAAGGCAGAAGGGAGCUUAACUGCGAGACACACAAGUCGAGCAGAUACGAAAGUAGGGCUUAGUGAUCCGGUGGUUCCACGUGGAAGGGCCAUCGCUCAACGGAUAAAAGUUACCCUGGGGAUAACAGGCUUAUCUCCCCCAAGAGUUCACAUCGACGGGGAGGUUUGGCACCUCGAUGUCGGCUCGUCGCAUCCUGGAGGCGGAGAAGUUUCCAAGGGUUGGGCUGUUCGCCCAUUAAAGCGGCACGCGAGCUGGGUUCAGAACGUCGUGAGACAGUUCGGUCCCUAUCUGUCGUGGGCGUAGGAGAUUUGAGAGGAUCUGUCCCUAGUACGAGAGGACCGGGAUGGACGCACCGCUGGUUUACCAGUUGUACCGCCAGGUGCAUGGCUGGAUAGCCAAGUGCGGACUGGAUAAGCGCUGAAAGCAUCUAAGCGCGAAACCGACCUCAAGAUUAGAUCUCCCACAGAGUUAAUCUGGUAAGACCCCUCAUAGACUAUGAGGUAGAUAGGCCGGGUGUGUAAGGGCAGUGAUGUCUUUAGCUGACCGGUACUAAUGGUUCGAGGGCUUGACCU
rnacentral:rRNA from 1 species